rnacentral:rRNA from 1 species
AGUGAACGCUGGCGGUAGGCCUAACACAUGCAAGUCGAACGGCAGCACAGUAAGAGCUUGCUCUUACGGGUGGCGAGUGGCGGACGGGUGAGGAAUACAUCGGAAUCUACUUUUUCGUGGGGGAUAACGUAGGGAAACUUACGCUAAUACCGCAUACGACCUACGGGUGAAAGCAGGGGAUCUUCGGACCUUGCGCGAUUGAAUGAGCCGAUGUCGGAUUAGCUAGUUGGCGGGGUAAAGGCCCACCAAGGCGACGAUCCGUAGCUGGUCUGAGAGGAUGAUCAGCCACACUGGAACUGAGACACGGUCCAGACUCCUACGGGAGGCAGCAGUGGGGAAUAUUGGACCAUGGGCGCAAGCCUGAUCCAGCCAUACCGCGUGGGUGAAGAAGGCCUUCGGGUUUUAAAGCCCUUUUGUUGGGAAAGAAAAGCAGCAGGUUAAUACCCCGCUGUUCUGACGGUACCCAAAGAAUAAGCACCGGCUAACUUCGUG